UACAGAGGGUGCAAGCGUUAAUCGGAAUUACUGGGCGUAAAGCGUGCGCAGGCGGUUCUAUAAGACAGAUGUGAAAUCCCCGGGCUCAACCUGGGAACUGCAUUUGUGACUGUAGAGCUGGAGUACGGUAGAGGGGGAUGGAAUUCCGCGUGUAGCAGUGAAAUGCGUAGAUAUGCGGAGGAACACCGAUGGCGAAGGCAAUCCCCUGGACCUGUACUGACGCUCAUGCACGAAAGCGUGGGGAGCAAACAGG
rnacentral:rRNA from 1 species